GUGAGGAAUAUUGGUCAAUGGGCGGGAGCCUGAACCAGCCAAGUCGCGUGAGGGAAGACGGUCCUACGGAUUGUAAACCUCUUUUGCCGGGGAGCAACGGGGUCCUUGCGAGGGCCCGAUGAGAGUACCCGGAGAAAAAGCAUCGGCUAACUCCGUGCCAGCAGCCGCGGUAAUACGGAGGAUGCGAGCGUUAUCCGGAUUUAUUGGGUUUAAAGGGUGCGUAGGCGGGCUGUUAAGUCAGCGGUCAAAUGUCGGGGCUCAACCCCGGCCUGCCGUUGAAACUGGUGGCCUCGAGUGGGCGAGAAGUAUGCGGAAUGCGUGGUGUAGCGGUGAAAUGCAUAGAUAUCACGCAGAACUCCGAUUGCGAAGGCAGCAUACCGGCGCCCGACUGACGCUGAGGCACGAAAGCGUGGGUAUCGAACAGG
rnacentral:rRNA from 1 species